GACGAACGCUGGCGGCGUGCCUAAUACAUGCAAGUAGAACGCUGAGGGAGGAGCUUGCUUCUCCGGAUGAGUUGCGAACGGGUGAGUAACGCGUAGGUAACCUGCCUGGUAGCGGGGGAUAACUAUUGGAAACGAUAGCUAAUACCGCAUAACAGUAGAUGUUGCAUGACAUUUGCUUAAAAGGUGCAAUAGCAUCACUACCAGAUGGACCUGCGUUGUAUUAGCUAGUUGGUGGGGUAACGGCUCACCAAGGCGACGAUACAUAGCCGACCUGAGAGGGUGAUCGGCCACACUGGGACUGAGACACGGCCCAGACUCCUACGGGAGGCAGCAGUAGGGAAUCUUCGGCAAUGGACGGAAGUCUGACCGAGCAACGCCGCGUGAGUGAAGAAGGUUUUCGGAUCGUAAAGCUCUGUUGUAAGAGAAAGAAACGAGUGUGAGAAGUGGAAAAGUUCAC
rnacentral:rRNA from 1 species